GUCCACGCCCUAAACUAUGGAUACUCGACAUAUGCGAUACACUGUAUGUGUCUGAGCGAAAGCAUUAAGUAUCCCACCUGGGAAGUACGUUCGCAAGAAUGAAACUCAAAGGAAUUGGCGGGGGUCCGCACAAGCGGUGGAGUAUGUGGUUUAAUUCGAUGAUACGCGAGGAACCUUACCUGGGCUAGAAUGCUGGGAGACCGCUAGUGAAAGCUAGUUUUGUAGCAAUACACUGCCAGUAAGGUGCUGCAUGGCCGUCGU
rnacentral:rRNA from 1 species